rnacentral:rRNA from 1 species
GACGAACGCUGGCGGCGUGCUUAACACAUGCAAGUCGAACGAUGACGACCGAGCUUGCUCGGUCUGAUUAGUGGCGAACGGGUGAGUAACACGUGAGCAACCUGCCCUUCACUCUGGGAUAACCUCGGGAAAUCGGGGCUAAUACCGGAUAUGAGCUCCUGUCGCAUGGCGGGUGUUGGAAAGUUUUUCGGUGAAGGAUGGGCUCGCGGCCUAUCAGUUUGUUGGUGAGGUAGUGGCUCACCAAGGCGAUGACGGGUAGCCGGCCUGAGAGGGCGACCGGCCACACUGGGACUGAGACACGGCCCAGGCUCCUACGGGAGGCAGCAGUGGGGAAUAUUGCACAAUGGGCGAAAGCCUGAUGCAGCGACGCCGCGUGAGGGAUGACGGCCUUCGGGUUGUAAACCUCUUUCAGCAGGGAAGAAGCGAAAGUGACGGUACCUGCAGAAGAAGCGCCGGCUAACUACGUG